rnacentral:rRNA from 1 species
GCGAGUGAAGCGGCAAAAGCUCAAAUUUGAAACCGCUCCGGCGGGUUGUAAUUUGAAGAUUGUGUUCUGGAGUCGACCACGCCUAUGUUCCUUGGAACAGGACGUCACAGAGGGUGAGAAUCCCGUGCGGCGUGGCCCCCGGCUCCUUAUAGAUCACUCUCGACGAGUCGAGUUGUUUGGGAAUGCAGCUCAAAGUGGGUGGUAAAUUCCAUCUAAAGCUAAAUAUUGGCGAGAGACCGAUAGCGAACAAGUACAGUGAUGGAAAGAUGAAAAGCACUUUGAAAAGAGAGUGAAACAGUACGUGAAAUUGUUGAAAGGGAAGGGCAUGCCGUCAGAUUGCCAGUAUCGAUUGCCAGGGAGGGAAAAAAGCGCAGGAAUGUGGCCCUAGGGUGUUAUAGCCUGCGUCAAUACCUCCUCUAGCGAUCGAGGACUGCUUUUAGGAUACUGGCGUAAUGACGGUACGCCGCCC